rnacentral:rRNA from 1 species
GAUGAACGCUGGCGGCGUGCCUAAUACAUGCAAGUCGAGCGAAUGGAUUAAGAGCUUGCUCUUAUGAAGUUAGCGGCGGACGGGUGAGUAACACGUGGGUAACCUGCCCAUAAGACUGGGAUAACUCCGGGAAACCGGGGCUAAUACCGGAUAACAUUUUGAACCGAAUGGUUAGAAAUUGAAAGGCGGCUUCGGCUGUCACUUAUGGAUGGACCCGCGUCGCAUUAGCUAGUUGGUGAGGUAACGGCUCACCAAGGCAACGAUGCGUAGCCGACCUGAGAGGGUGAUCGGCCACACUGGGACUGAGACACGGCCCAGACUCCUACGGGAGGAAGCAGUAGGGAAUCUUCCGCAAUGGACGAAAGUCUGACGGAGCAACGCCGCGUGAGUGAUGAAGGCUUUCGGGUCGUAAAACUCUGUUGUUAGGGAAGAACAAGUGCUAGUUGAAUAAGCUGGCACCUUGACGGUACCUAACCAGAAAGCCACGGCUAACUACGUGCCAGCCGCCGCGGUAA